rnacentral:lncRNA from 1 species
UGAAACUCAGAGUCUGGAGAAUCAUCCAGGUCAGAGGAGGUGGACUGACUUCUCUUCAUCCUGACCAACACAUUUUAAAUAUGAUUAGAAGGUGAGUGUGUGUCCAAUGCUUUCUGCUUCUUAGUUUGCACUCCGGCCAAAUCCAAGUGCUCCGUCCCCUUCUGCUCUCCCUCAGCUGCCAAAAAGCCAAUAAUAGAGUUAAUCUUACAAAC